rnacentral:rRNA from 1 species
UACGUAGGGCGCAAGCGUUAUCCGGAGUUAUUGGGCGUAAAGAGCUCGUAGGCGGUUUGUCGCGUCUGCCGUGAAAGUCCGGGGCUCAACUCCGGAUCUGCGGUGGGUACGGGCAGACUAGAGUGCAGUAGGGGAGACUGGAAUUCCUGGUGUAGCGGUGAAAUGCGCAGAUAUCAGGAGGAACACCGAUGGCGAAGGCAGGUCUCUGGGCUGUAACUGACGCUGAGGAGCGAAAGCGUGGGGAGCGAACAGG